GACGAACGCUGGCGGCGUGCUUAACACAUGCAAGUCGAACGGUAAGGCCCUUCGGGGUACACGAGUGGCGAACGGGUGAGUAACGCGUGAGUAACCUGCCCUUCACUCUGGGAUAACAGUUGGAAACGGCUGCUAAUACCGGAUAUUCAGCUCCUGUCGCAUGGUGGGGGUUGGAAAGUUUUGGUGGUGGAGGAUGGGCUCGCGUCCUAUCAGCUUGUUGGUGGGGUGAUGGCCUACCAAGGCGUCGACGGGUAGCCGGCCUGAGAGGGCGACCGGCCACAUUGGGACUGAGAUACGGCCCAGACUCCUACGGGAGGCAGCAGUGGGGAAUAUUGCACAAUGGGCGGAAGCCUGAUGCAGCAACGCCGCGUGCGGGAUGACGGCCUUCGGGUUGUAAACCGCUUUCAGCAGGGACGAAGCGCAAGUGACGGUACCUGCAGAAGAAGCACCGGCUAACUACGUG
rnacentral:rRNA from 1 species